UACGUAGGGUGCGAGCGUUGUCCGGAAUUAUUGGGCGUAAAGAGCUCGUAGGCGGCUUGUCGCGUCGGAUGUGAAAGCCCGGGGCUUAACUCCGGGUCUGCAUUCGAUACGGGCAGGCUAGAGUUCGGUAGGGGAGAUCGGAAUUCCUGGUGUAGCGGUGAAAUGCGCAGAUAUCAGGAGGAACACCGGUGGCGAAGGCGGAUCUCUGGGCCGAUACUGACGCUGAGACGCGAAAGCGUGGGUAGCAAACAGG
rnacentral:rRNA from 1 species